rnacentral:rRNA from 1 species
GACGAACGCUGGCGGCGUGCUUAACACAUGCAAGUCGAACGGUGAUGCUCCAGCUUGCUGGCGUGGAUCAGUGGCGAACGGGUGAGUAACACGUGAGCAACCUGCCCCAGACUCUGGAAUAAGCGCUGGAAACGGCGUCUAAUACUGGAUACGAAACUGGCCCGCAUGGGCAUGGUUUGGAAAGUUUUUCGGUUUGGGAUGGGCUCGCGGCCUAUCAGCUUGUUGGUGAGGUAAUGGCUCACCAAGGCGACGACGGGUAGCCGGCCUGAGAGGGCGACCGGCCACACUGGGCCUGAGACACGGCCCAGACUCCUACGGGAGGCAGCAGUGGGGAAUAUUGCACAAUGGGCGAAAGCCUGAUGCAGCGACGCCGCGUGAGGGAUGACGGCCUUCGGGUGGUAAACCUCUUUCAGCAGGGAAGAAGCGAAAGUGACGGUACCUGCAGAAGAAGCACCGGCUAACUACGU